rnacentral:rRNA from 1 species
UGGGGAAUUUUGGACAAUGGGCGCAAGCCUGAUCCAGCCAUGCCGCGUGUGUGAAGAAGGCCUUCGGGUUGUAAAGCACUUUCGGCCGGAACGAAAUCGCGCGGGCGAAUAUCCCGCGUGGAUGACGGUACCGGAAGAAGAAGCACCGGCUAACUACGUGCCAGCAGCCGCGGUAAUACGUAGGGUGCGAGCGUUAAUCGGAAUUACUGGGCGUAAAGCGUGCGCAGGCGGUUUCGCAAGUCGAGUGUGAAAGCCCCGGGCUUAACCUGGGAAUUGCGCUCGAAACUACGGGACUGGAGUGUGGCAGAGGAAGGUGGAAUUCCACGUGUAGCGGUGAAAUGCGUAGAGAUGUGGAGGAACACCGAUGGCGAAGGCAGCCUUCUGGGCCAACACUGACGCUCAGGCACGAAAGCGUGGGGAGCAAACAGGAUUAGAUACCCGGGUAGUCC